rnacentral:rRNA from 1 species
AUUGAACGCUGGCGGCAGGCCUAACACAUGCAAGUCGAACGGUAACAGGAAGAAGCUUGCUUCUUUGCUGACGAGUGGCGGACGGGUGAGUAAUGUCUGGGAAACUGCCUGAUGGAAGGGGAUAACUACUGGAAACGGUAGCUAAUACCGCAUAAUGUCGCAAGACCAAAGAGGGGGACCUUCGGGCCUCUUGCCAUCGGAUGUGCCCAGAUGGGAUUAGCUAGUAGGUGGGGUAACGGCUCACCUAGGCGACGAUCCCUAGCUGGUCUGAGAGGAUGACCAGCCACACUGGAACUGAGACACGGUCCAGACUCCUACGGGAGGCAGCAGUGGGGAAUAUUGCACAAUGGGCGCAAGCCUGAUGCAGCUAUGCCGCGUGUAUGAAGAAGGCCUUCGGGUUGUAAAGUACUUUCAGCGGGGAGGAAGGGAGUAAAGUUAAUACCUUUGCUCAUUGACGUUACCCGCAGAAGAAGCACCGGCUAACUCCGUG